CGUCCGGUAGCUCAGCGGUCAGAGCGCGUGCAGCGUCACUGGGCAGGUCAGUGGUCCCGACGGAGGUUAACCCAUACGUGAGCGAGGUCGGUGGAUCGAAACCAUCCCGGGCGC